UGACACUGAGCAGAGCCUUUGAGGAAAAGCAAUGUGGGCAAGAGGAACAGCAACUGACGAGCUACAUUGAUUCAAGCCACAUUGACACAAAGCUUGUCCAUACGCCUACAAAACCUGAAUGUGAAUGGAUCCCAGGCUUUCUUCCUCCUCCUUCAGCUCUGCCCAGCUGUGUGCUAACCCAGCAACACUGCGUCCAUCCGUCCGUCCGACACUGUCUUUUCAGAACCCCAGCAGCAGCAGCAGCAUGACAGCUGCUAACCUCACAGCCCUCCAAUGUGCUUGAGUUGAAUUUCUUUGCUUUCUUUCUUCCCGCCUAAGGAAAGGAUUCUUUCAAAGAAAACAUACAAUUUUUCAACACAUGAGUUCUGUCAGCCUCUUCCUGUAUAAACCUCACUCUUAACUCCUGUCAAACGUUGGGCCAUAGGUUCCUGAGCUAAAGGAGAAAUAUAUCCAGUCAACCAAAAAUAGAUUUUCUUUAACAGCACCAAGGAAUCUAAACCCAUCCUUAAAAUACUUUGUAGAGGAAUUAGCCAGGCGUUCUAUCAUUUGCUUAGAGCAGCACAGAAGGGUAGGACGAGUGGUGGG
rnacentral:lncRNA from 1 species